GGCCUUCGGGUUGUAAACUGCUUUUGUACGGAACGAAAAGGCCCUGGUGAACAACCGGGGUUGCUGACGGUACCGUAAGAAUAAGCACCGGCUAACUACGUGCCAGCAGCCGCAGUAAUACGUAGGGUGCGAGCGUUAAUCGGAAUUACUGGGCGUAAAGCGUGCGCAGGCGGACAUGCAAGACAGAUGUGAAAUCCCCGGGCUCAACCUGGGAACUGCAUAUGUGACUGUAUGACUGGAGUACGGCAGAGGGGGAUGGAAUUCCGCGUGUAGCAGUGAAAUGCGUAGAUAUGCGGAGGAACACCGAUGGCGAAGGCAAUCCCCUGGGCCAGUACUGACGCUCAUGCACGAAAGCGUGGGGAGCAAACAGGAUUAGAUACCCUGGUAGUCC
rnacentral:rRNA from 1 species